rnacentral:tRNA from 1 species
GUCUGGGUGGUUCAGUCGGCUGAGCGUCUGACUUCAGCUCAGGUCAUGAUCUCGCUGCUCGUGAGUUCAAGCCCCACAUCAGACU